CGGCACGGCACCCAUGACUGGAAGGUGACGGGUGGUUGUGGGGGGAGGAAGGCAGAGACAGAGCAAGCUGGGGUCCAGACCUGUUCCUCUGGCCUAGAUGGUGGCAGAGGCUGUGGCUAUAGCCCCUGAGCUGGAUGGACCCCCUUGUUACCAAAAAGGAUAACCCACACGGAGCAGUGUGCCAGGGCCUGCUGAUUUGAGCGAGCCCCUUUCCAACUCCAGGGCACUAGACACUGUUGCCACAUUUACCUACUGAUGACGCAGCAUCAGGAGCAACUGGGGGUUCAGUAUCUUGACACUUCAACACGAUCACGGGAGGACGGACAAUGAAACCCGCAACCUUCAGGUUGACAGCCCUGUUUCUUCACCACAGAGGUGAAGAAACAAACCUCCACCUCCCCAAACAACCAACGGCGUCCGAAACAGCCACAAAGCGUGACAAAGUGAGUUUUUGGCAUUCCUACUGUGGUUGAGCAUUGUUCUCGGUUUGAGUAAUAUCACUUGAUCAAGCCUUUUCUAACAUUACACAUUACAAAAUAAGUACAGUCAUUUAUCGCCGAACGCGAUAAAUGAAUUUCCACAAUAUAGGAUUCAAUGUUAAUAAAUGUACUAUUUUCAUAGUUAGAGCACAGAAAAACUGACUUUCUAAAUAUGGUUUUUAACAUUAGAGCCCUGUAAACAUGAAAUAACACCCCUAUAGUCACCUUUACGCUGCUAUUAUUCAUUGUUUACACCACAUUG